rnacentral:rRNA from 1 species
CUCGGCGAACUGCUCAGUAACACGUGGAUAAUUUGCCCUUAGGUGGAGGAUAACCUCGGGAAACUGAGAACAAUACUCCAUAGAUCUAGGAUGCUGGAAUGCAUUUAGAUUAAAAGCUCCGGCGCCUAAGGAUAAGUCUGCGGACUAUCAGGUUGUAGUCAGGGUAAAGGCCUGACUAGCCUACAACGGAUACGGGUUGUGAGAGCAAUAACCCGGAGACGAUAUCUGAGACACGAUAUCGGGCCCUACGGGGCGCAGCAGGCGCGAAACCUUCGCACUGUGCGAAAGCGCGAUGAGGGGAUCCCAAGUGCUUGCUCGUAAGAGUAAGCUGUUUUUAUGUCUAAAAAGCAUAGAGAGUAAGGGCUGGGUAAGACGGGUGCCAGCCGCCGCGGUAAUACCUGCAGCUCAAGUGGUGAUCAUUAUUAUUGGGCCUAAAACGUCCGUAGCCGGUUUGGUAAAUGCCUGGGUAAAUCGUGUAGCUUAACUAUACGAAUUCCGGGUAGACUGCCAAACUUGAGACCGGGAGAGGCUAGAGGUACUCCUGGGGUAGAGGUGAAAUCCUGUAAUCCUAGGGGGACCACCAGUGGCGAAGGCGUCUAGCUAGAACGGGUCUGACGGUCAGGGACGAAGCCCUGGGGCGCGAACCGGAUUAGAUACCCGGGUAGUCCAGGGUGUAAACGCUGCUUGCUUGAUGU